UCUCUCAGCUCACAUCAAUACGAAUAGAGCAAUAAAACAAUUUCAAUGUUAUUCUUAUCACCAGACAGAAAACGUUUUUUUCGAAAGCGACAAGCGUUGAUGCUCGCGUUAUUUAAUUUUAUGUUUGUGCUUAUGCUUCAUGUGUUUGCGGUGUCAGAGGGUGUUGCGAGCAAAGUCUUCAAUGUGAUCAAGAACAGGAGAAAGAAUAUCUCUUCAAGAUGAUGCAUUGAAGCAGAGCCUCUAUCAACAGCUCUCAGUCAACAUUUAAGAUUGGAGACUAACAGCUUCCAGAAUUACCUUACUUACGGAUGCUCUUUGUGCUACCAGAUGGAUGCAAUACUCAUUGGCUCUACAUGGCAGAAGGAAGAAGAAACGGGUGCUGACAGCUGCCUGGCUGUGUUCAUUCGAGGUACAAUGGCCGACAGACUCCAGCUCCUCCAGCAGCAGCUGAAGCAGUGAAAGAUUUCCUAAUGGAUCAAUUACAAAAUGAUAUGCGCUGAUUGCCCAGGUAUAUCAGAUGGGGCGACCUGUGGCUCGGCGGGAGAACUAUCAUCAUUGCUCGAUUUUAAUUCGAGGUGAUCCCUGUCUUUGAAGAAAAUGCCGUGAUCGAACGUUCGAGAUAAAGAAAACAAAAUGGCUGACCUAUACAAAUAAAAGCUUGCGCUGGAGAGGCCGGUGAACGCGGGGAGCCAGCUGACCCGUUCCUGACGUUCUCUCAACAGAUGGCGAAAUCUUCGGCGUCGUGUGAUUCACAAUCAAAAACUCUGUAUUGUAUAUCAAUAAAGUGAUUCAAUAUUAUAAAAUAAAAGUAAACCCUAA